rnacentral:rRNA from 1 species
UUGAAGAGUUUGAUCAUGGCUCAGAUUGAACGCUGGCGGCAGGCCUAACACAUGCAAGUCGAGCGGUAGCACAGAGAGCUUGCUCUCGGGUGACGAGCGGCGGACGGGUGAGUAAUGUCUGGGAAACUGCCUGAUGGAGGGGGAUAACUACUGGAAACGGUAGCUAAUACCGCAUAACGUCGCAAGACCAAAGUGGGGGACCUUCGGGCCUCAUGCCAUCAGAUGUGCCCAGAUGGGAUUAGCUAGUAGGUGGGGUAACGGCUCACCUAGGCGACGAUCCCUAGCUGGUCUGAGAGGAUGACCAGCCACACUGGAACUGAGACACGGUCCAGACUCCUACGGGAGGCAGCAGUGGGGAAUAUUGCACAAUGGGCGCAAGCCUGAUGCAGCCAUGCCGCGUGUGUGAAGAAGGCCUUCGGGUUGUAAAGCACUUUCAGCGGGGAGGAAGGCGUUAAGGUUAAUAACCUUGGCGAUUGACGUUACCCGCAGAAGAAGCACCGGCUAACUCCGUGCCAGCAGCCGCGGUAAUACGGAGGGUGCAAGCGUUAAUCGGAAUUACUGGGCGUAAAGCGCACGCAGGCGGUCUGUCAAGUCGGAUGUGAAAUCCCCGGGCUCAACCUGGGAACUGCAUUCGAAACUGGCAGGCUAGAGUCUUGUAGAGGGGGGUAGAAUUCCAGGUGUAGCGGUGAAAUGCGUAGAGAUCUGGAGGAAUACCGGUGGCGAAGGCGGCCCCCUGGACAAAGACUGACGCUCAGGUGCGAAAGCGUGGGGAGCAAACAGGAUUAGAUACCCUGGUAGUCCACGCCGUAAACGAUGUCGAUUUGGAGGUUGUGCCCUUGAGGCGUGGCUUCCGGAGCUAACGCGUUAAAUCGACCGCCUGGGGAGUACGGCCGCAAGGUUAAAACUCAAAUGAAUUGACGGGGGCCCGCACAAGCGGUGGAGCAUGUGGUUUAAUUCGAUGCAACGCGAAGAACCUUACCUUGGUCUUGACAUCCACAGAACUUUCCAGAGAUGGAUUGGUGCCUUCGGGAACUGUGAGACAGGUGCUGCAUGGCUGUCGUCAGCUCGUGUUGUGAAAUGUUGGGUUAAGUCCCGCAACGAGCGCAACCCUUAUCCUUUGUUGCCAGCGGUCCGGCCGGGAACUCAAAGGAGACUGCCAGUGAUAAACUGGAGGAAGGUGGGGAUGACGUCAAGUCAUCAUGGCCCUUACGACCAGGGCUACACACGUGCUACAAUGGCAUAUACAAAGAGAAGCGACCUCGCGAGAGCAAGCGGACCUCAUAAAGUAUGUCGUAGUCCGGAUUGGAGUCUGCAACUCGACUCCAUGAAGUCGGAAUCGCUAGUAAUCGUAGAUCAGAAUGCUACGGUGAAUACGUUCCCGGGCCUUGUACACACCGCCCGUCACACCAUGGGAGUGGGUUGCAAAAGAAGUAGGUAGCUUAACCUUCGGGAGGGCGCUUACCACUUUGUGAUUCAUGACUGGGGUGAAGUCGUAACAAGGUAACCGUAGGGGAACCUGCGGUUGGAUCACCUCCUU